UCCCUGGAGGUCUAGUGGUUAGGCCACAGCGCUCUCACCACUAGGACCUGGGUUUGAUUCCUGCCCAGAGAA